rnacentral:rRNA from 1 species
UCCCAGACUCCUACGGGAGGCAGCAGUGAGGAAUAUUGGCCAAUGGGCGAGAGCCUGAACCAGCCAAGUCGCGUGAGGGAGUACUACCCUAUGGGUUGUAAACCUCUUUUGUCAGGGAGCAAAGGGCGCCACGUGUGGCGUUUUGCGAGUGCCUGAAGAAAAAGCAUCGGCUAACUCCGUGCCAGCAGCCGCGGUAAUACGGAGGGUGCGAGCGUUAUCCGGAUUUAUUGGGUUUAAGGGGUGCGUAGGCGGGCUGUUAAGUCAGCGGUCAAAUGUCGGGGCUCAACCCCGUCGUGCCGUUGAAACUGGCGUUCUUGAGUGAGCGAGAAGUAUGCGGAAUGCGUGGUGUAGCGGUGAAAUGCAUAGAUAUCACGCAGAACUCCGAUUGCGAAGGCAGCAUACCGGCGCUCAACUGACGCUCAUGCACGAAAGCGUGGGUAUCGAACAGGAUUAGAUACCCGCGUACAA